rnacentral:lncRNA from 1 species
CGGGAGCCCGCCUCCGCGAGCUGGGCUGCAGGCGCUCCAGGCCCAGCCGCCGCCGCGCGCCGCGUUACCGCACGCCCCCCGGCCCCGGCAGCGGCGCCGCCGUCACUGCCACCGCCCGCGCUCGCCGUCCGUUGGCUUCGCCGCCCGCCCUCUCAGGCGCGGCCCCUCACCGGAAGUGAAACCGAAAGGCUGCCUAGCGCCUGACUGACUGAGGCCAAGCGCUCGGCCCGCGCCUCGUGUAAACAGUCAAACGACAUCACGUGACCAGCCACACCACGCCUCACAGUGGGCUCGGCCCCCCAGCCGCCCCGCCCUCGGCUCGCCCUGGGCAGCCGAGCACGCGCAUGCGCCCUCCUGGGAACCGGCCCAAGGGAACCGGGCGGACCCUGUGGCGAGCACGCUCGGGGCAAGGCGGGAAAGCAGCGCAAAGGGUGGUGACAGAUUGAUCUGCCAUUCAAUCGCUUAGAAAUUUCUAUGAAUCACGUUGGUGCAGCUCGAAGACAGUGAAGAUUGCUGCUCUUAUCGAUGACCCAAAGCAUCAAAGAGCCUCACAGUACCCACUGGAUCCUACAGAAGAAACAACAGGUUAGCCUAAAUUGAGCCUUAACUUUAAGCAUGUCACUUCUCUGGGCCAAUCUAUGUUUUCUAUAUGAUUUACCCAUUUAAAUAGAACCUUUCAUAAGAUUGCAGACUACCUGGCUUGUGCCCUUCUAUUUCUCAUUGGCAAAACUGAAAUCUAGGAAGGGAAAUGAGUUUUUCUAGGGUUAACCAGUUGGAUAGCUGUGUUUAUGGAGCAUGAAGGACAUACUUUCUGGGACACCAUCAAGAUAGCCUUAUUGAGUGAUCUGACUUAGUUCUGUUUCAAGUAGUACAUGUCUGUGAAGACAAACUGUUCAUGGAAUAUUAAGUUAGCAUAGUUAUAUACUAAUAUUUAGUUUCUUGUCAUCCUAAGUUAUUUGAAUCUCUGAGCCAACACAGAUUGUGGAAUUACUUCUAUCAUAAGAUGAAAAGAUUUAUGUGGAUCAGUAAGAUGACUCAGUGGGUGAGGACACUUGCUGCUAAGGCUGAUGCUCUGAGUUUGAUUCCCAAGACCAAUAUGGUAUAAAGAACAAACUCUAGCAGGUUCUCCUCUGGUUUCCACAUGUGUGCCAUGGCAUACUCCAUUACUAAUGGAUAAAUAAAUAAGUAAAUAAUAUAAUAAAAUUAAAAUAA